AAAAGCGCGUCGUCACAAUGCGAGAAUAUUGAUGGAUCGCGAUCACAUACUGCCGGCCGUAGUCGUUUGUUAUUCAAUAACAAAAGCGGACUGAGUUAGCAGCGAGGCACUUUCAUGCAAACUGUCACGGGAAUGCCUCCGCAACCAAAACAAGACCAAAACAAUAAAAAUCAGGAAUUUAUGUAUAAGAAAUCUGUCAGAAGUCUUGCAGAUUGGGAUUUCUAGGGAUGUCGUUCAGUGGACACGGAUGCCGAAGUAGCUAGUUUGAACUGAAUGAAGUCGGCUUGAAUCUGCAAAAUUGUAUUUUCUAACGGAACGAGAAUGGAGAAUUUGGAUCGAAAAUCACGGGGAGUGAAGGAUGCACACGAUGAAGUGAUAAAAAAUAGACUGCCAGGAACUCGAAAAAAAAAAUGUCAAGUAUCUUAAGAUUAUUUAAAUAGAAUAAUUGAACUUUUUUUCAUACAAUAAGAAAUGUAAGUAGAACAACUUUUCUUUUUGAAACAAAACAUAAAUUAUUUGAGCUAAACAAUAAAAUUGCUUGAAAAGCUAAAUAAUCGCACACUGAGAGAAGAAUUUAAUAAAUAUUAUCAAAAUUUAGUUACUAUUACUAAAUGGUAGACGUAAAUAUAGCGGGCCAAAGCUAUGGCAAUACUUAUUAAUUAAUUUAGUUCUGUAAAAU